AGGGACAAGUCCGAAGAUGGUCGUGCAUUUUCCGUUCGCUUCACUGAUGCUACAGUUUCUAGCCAGGGUGUUGAUUUGAUUCAUCAAGGAUGAAAUAAGAAAGGUCAAAGUGUCAAAAGGGGAGUUCAAAAUUCAUGCAAUCUACAGAUCCCGUCCAGCAUUGCCUCUGUUGAUGAACCUGCACAUGCUUUGCUGUAUCUGCACUCUGAUCUACCGGAUUCACUUUUUAUGGUUGCGCAUUGUUCCCUGCGUGCUGUGGCUCGUGAUCGUAAGUAACAAACAUACUAUAAUGUUUUCAUAUUCUUUGCAUGUAAUAAUAGUUGUCAAUAGCAAUCGCUACGGUCGCUAUAGCAAAUAUUCGAACCCUAUUCAAAUCGGUUUGGUUCACAAAGCGGUAUCCAAAAACUGGUAUUUAAACUUUUUUUGUGGGUUGGGUUGAAACCGGUUCGGGUGACGAGAGGGGGAACCGGAAUACAAACUGGCGGUUUGGGUUCGGUUGAAACCGAUUUGGUAGGCAAAUUGGGCCGGUUACGAGAGGACGAACUGGUUUAGCUCGAACUUGGUAAAGUGUCAACAUAUACAUUUGUACAGUGUAGACAAAGAAUUUGGUCAACAGGUCAACAUAUUUUGGUAGUGUAUAGCCUUUCUAAAUUGACCUUACACACGACUUGGUAAAUUGCCAAUUUUGACCCAAUAGUUUGAAUUUGGACUUUAAAAAAGAAGUGAUGGGCUGCUUUGGGUUAACAUAAUACUUAAGUGGGUUGAAAUGGGUAUAUUAUAUAAAUAAAAGAUUAACGAAAUGAUGAACAAAAUUGCACGGUGGGUACCCUGAAAAACAAACUGGUUUCCAAAGUAAGAUUCAAUUCGAUUAUCAAAACUCAUAUGUUAAAGAAGUUCGAAUUCAAAUCAUCUUAUCUGAAGAUUUGUACUGCGUAAUUUGAGGUAAAUAUCAAUUAUUUGUCGUGAAAUCACUAAUUUUUGGGUUA